rnacentral:ncRNA from 1 species
UAUAAGUGGUAUUUAAUUGGCUUAAAGUAGCUUAAAGUUUGAUUCUUGCUUGUAAUAUUUAUAUUAUGAUUGAAAAAUACAUGAAAAUCUUAGUGUUCCUUUAUACACAUAAAUUAAAAAUUUAGUAUAAAAUAAAUCUCAGUAUUUAGUUUUAAGAAAUUAAUUAAAAUUAGAAUUGGUAAUCAUUUUGAUUCUGACUAAAAUUUGUGCCAGCAGUCGCGGUUAUACUUAGAGGGUAAAUAAAUAUAAUUUGGUUAUAUAGUAAUUAUUUGGUUAAUUAAAAUUUAUUAUUUUUUUGAAAGAGUGAAAUCAGAAUUUAAUAAUAAUAAUAAGUUUAAAACAGAACUUGAAGAAACUAUAAAUUUUAAUAUAUAAACUAGGAUUAGAUACCCUACUAUAAUUAAAGUGAAAAUUUUGCCAGAUUAUUAAUAGUUAUUUUCUUUUAAAUUCAGAGAAUUUGGCGGUAUUUUAGUCUUUUUAGAGGAACUUGUUUCAUAAACGAUAAACCACGAAUAUCUUACCUAAUUUAAAAUUUGUAUACCGUCAUUAUCAGAUAACUUUGAUAAAAUAAGUUAUUGAAAGUAAUAAAAUUAAAUAAAUUAGAUCAAGGUGCAGUUCAUAAUUAGGAGAAAAUGGGUUACAAUAAAAAAUUUAUUUAAACGAAGUUGAGAAUGAAAUUUAACAAUGAAGGUGGAUUUAAUUGUAAUAAUAUUAAUUUUAAUUAUUUGAUAUAAGCUCUAAAAUAUGUACAUAUCGCCCGUCGCUUUCGCUUAAAACCGAAAUAAGUCGUAACAAAGUAGGUGUGCCGGAAGGCGUACCUAGAAGUUA